GUCCACGCUGUAAACGAUGGAUACUAGGUGUGGGAGGUAUCAACUCCUUCCGUGCCGGAGUUAACACAAUAAGUAUCCCACCUGGGGAGUACGGCCGCAAGGUUGAAACUCAAAGGAAUUGACGGGGCCCGCACAAGCAGUGGAGUAUGUGGUUUAAUUCGAAGCAACGCGAAGAACCUUACCAGGGCUUGACAUACACUUGAUCGCUGUAGAAAUACAGCUUCCCUUCGGGGGCAAGUGUACAGGUGGUGCAUGGUUGUCGU
rnacentral:rRNA from 1 species